rnacentral:rRNA from 1 species
UGGGGAAUUUUGGACAAUGGGGGAAACCCUGAUCCAGCCAUCCCGCGUGUGCGAUGAAGGCCUUCGGGUUGUAAAGCACUUUCGGCAGGAAAGAAACGUCAUGGGUUAAUACCCCGUGAAACUGACGGUACCUGCAGAAUAAGCACCGGCUAACUACGUGCCAGCAGCCGCGGUAAUACGUAGGGUGCAAGCGUUAAUCGGAAUUACUGGGCGUAAAGCGUGCGCAGGCGGUUCGGAAAGAAAGAUGUGAAAUCCCAGAGCUCAACUUUGGAACUGCAUUUUUAACUACCGGGCUAGAGUGUGUCAGAGGGAGGUGGAAUUCCGCGUGUAGCAGUGAAAUGCGUAGAUAUGCGGAGGAACACCGAUGGCGAAGGCAGCCUCCUGGGAUAACACUGACGCUCAUGCACGAAAGCGUGGGGAGCAAACAGG